AUGGAUGCAGAUCUCAGCCAAUGGAUUAUGAAACACUACGACCCCGAGAAGUCCCAAGUUGUUAUACCAGAGAGGGGGAAGAUCCCGGUAGAUGCAGCAAGUGUGCAUAGGAUAUGGGGGUCGCCAAACAAGGGCAUAAAGGUCUGUUAUGAGAAUUGUCCUGACAUCACAAAGGCCAUUUACAACAUCUACAACAUUACAUCCAAGAACUCACCAACCCUCACGGCAUGGUGUAAGAUGAUUGAAGAUAUGGGUGGAGCUCAUGACGACAAUUUCCUCCGUGCUUGGCUAGCAGUCGCCUUUUCUUGCUUUCUUGCACCAUCAACAAGUCUAAACAUUUCUCCAAAAAGCUUCCCUGUUUUUAUGGAUGUCAAUGGUAUAAACAAAGAUAAAUGUUUGUCAGUUUGUUGUUGA
rnacentral:rRNA from 1 species